AAAAAAAAAACGUGGUGAAAAUUUUGCAAAACCAUAAAAGGGAACAUAAACCAAAUAAAAACAAUUUUAAAAGUGUUGUGGCUGCAAAGACAAAAACUUAAAAACCAACCCCUGGAUAAGGUACGCAAAGAAAAAAAUGAAAAAGUGACCUUAUUACAUAAUUCCAUGUAUGUACUGCACGUAGGUUAUGAUCCACGUGUGGCAGGAAAUUGCUGACCUGGCCUGACCCUCGGUCUCGGAGGGGGGUCCGCUCCAGUACCACGAACAUCAGUCCUUCUUUUUGGUGCCACCGGACCUUGCCUGCAGGCCGAGAAACGGAUGGCGACUUGGCGAUCGGGACCGAGUUGUUUAUAUACAUAUAUCUCACGAGCAACUAAGCCGCUCAACAACAACGAUAAUAUCAAUCAAUCUAAAAUAUUAUAUCACCGCGCCUUGUGUAAAGAAAAUUUUGGUGCUUGCAUAUGU
rnacentral:lncRNA from 1 species